rnacentral:lncRNA from 1 species
GGACAAGACUCUUCAUUUUUUGUAACCAUUGCCAACUUUUAUGAGUUUUAUAAAACUUAAAUGUGACAUUUCAUGUAACUUGAGGACAAGUUACACAAACACAUUUUAGAAUUAUCUCUUAGAUUAAGAUGGAUUGAAAAACGCAUAAUCAAUUAACUUUUCUAUUAAUCUAAGCAACUCAUUAGAACAAGAUAAUUCAAAUCAAACUUUUUCAUGUAAUUAGUCUAAACCUUAAACUAAUACAAAAACUAAAUCUAUUGACAAUUAUCUUUGAAAUUGGAUUAGCAUGCACUACAAGAAAAAUCCAAAAUAACUACGGAAAAAUUCGAUGGAUUGAAAAACGCAUAAUCAAUUAACUUUUCUAUUAAUCUAAGCAACUCAUUAGAACAAGAUAAUUCAAAUCAAACUUUUUCAUGUAAUUAGUCUAAACCUUAAACUAAUACAAAAACUAAAUCUAUUGACAAUUAUCUUUGAAAUUGGAUUAGCAUGCACUACAAGAAAAAUCCAAAAUAACUACGGAAAAAUUCCGUAGCUAAAACAUGAUAUUCCAUAGUUAAGUGUGAUUAGAGCCAGAAUUUGCUACGGAACCCAUUUGUUGCAAAAAUCUUCAUUACUAAACUAUUGUUACGGAAUCCGUAGGACCUUCGCGGCGGAUUUUGCAACACACUUAUUCUGUAGUAAAAUAGCUAUAAACUAUAUUCGUAGCAGUAACGUAGCAAAUUAACUAUAAUUGUUGUCCGUAGCAAAUUACCUACGACCCGAUCUGUAGUUAAUCUGUCACAAAUUAACUACAAUUGUUUUCUGUAGCACAUCCGUAGCAAAUUACUUACGAUCCAUAGUUAGUCUGUCACAAAUUAACUACAAACCAUCCCCGUAGCUAAUUUCCAUAGCAAAUCCACUACGGGUAAUGUCAUAGCAAAUAUUCCAUAGUGAAUCUACUACGAUCUAAUUAUGUAACAGAUAGUUGGUAGUAGAUUUCAUGGUAGUGGUUUCAA